rnacentral:rRNA from 1 species
UACGUAGGGGGCAAGCGUUGUCCGGAAUUAUUGGGCGUAAAGAGCUCGUAGGCGGUCUGUUGCGUCGGCUGUGAAAACCCGGGGCUCAACCCCGGGCCUGCAGCCGAUACGGGCAGACUAGAGUUCGGCAGGGGAGACUGGAAUUCCUGGUGUAGCGGUGAAAUGCGCAGAUAUCAGGAGGAACACCGGUGGCGAAGGCGGGUCUCUGGGCCGAUACUGACGCUGAGGAGCGAAAGCGUGGGGAGCGAACAGG